CCUACGGGGGGCAGCAGUGAGGAAUAUUGGUCAAUGGACGAGAGUCUGAACCAGCCAAGUAGCGUGAAGGAUGACUGCCCUAUGGGUUGUAAACUUCUUUUAUAUGGGAAUAAAAUGUUCCAUGUGUGGGCUUUUGUAUGUACCAUAUGAAUAAGGAUCGGCUAACUCCGUGCCAGCAGCCGCGGUAAUACGGAGGUUCCGAGCGUUAUCCGGAUUUAUUGGGGUUAAAGGGAGCGUAGGUGGGUUGUUAAGUCAGUUGUGAAAGUUUGCGGCUCAACCGUAAAAUUGCAGUUGAAACUGGCAGUCUUGAGUGCAGUAGAGGUGAGCGGAAUUCGUGGUGUAGCGGUGAAAUGCUUAGAUAUCACGAGGAACUCCGAUUGCGAAGGCAGCUCACUGGACUGCAACUGACACUGAGGCUCGAAAGUGUGGGUAUCAAACAGGAUUAGAUACCCGAGUAGUC
rnacentral:rRNA from 1 species